GCGCAGCGAGUGGGGAAAUCCUAUGCCGCCUGUGAACCUUCCCAUUAUGUUCGUUUCUUGUCUAAAAUAUGAGACUUAGGUUUUCAUUGCUUCUGUUCACUUCAGAAGAAUGAACAGAAAGCACUCGCCACCCUUUAACCUAAAUCAAAGUAUAAGCCAACAUUUCUAACAAGAGUACGGAUUCUUUCUUACCUUUGGAGUCCACGGACCCUUAAAAGGUGGAAUUCAUGGUGGAUUCUUUUGAUGGGGAUUUUCCUGCUUUGAAAGGAAAUAAUAGGACGUUUUCAAUGUGGAACAAGGCUGAGGUUCUGACUGCUGGCCUAAAAGAACCAGGAUUCCCCCAGUUGGACUCUCACAUACCUGUGGACCUCAAGUGCUCCUUCAUAUGUGUUUUCAAUGAACUUCAUCCAAACCACAUCAAAUGGCUGUGUAUAACACUAAGGAAAUGUCAUAUUGUCUCCUAGUCCUCUACCAUGGAAAAUCUGCGCAGAGGCUUUCAAGGAAAAUAAAGGGUAAGAGUCUAGUUCAGCUCUCUCUGGUGUGAAGUGGGGUUAUAAAGCCCCAGAUUGUUAAGUAGUGAGUGGCAAUUUGUCAGAAGCAGAAAAGUCCAAAUCAGAAGCCUGUACGCACAAUGAGAGCCUCCAGAAAAAUGCAGAAUUCUUAGGGAGACAAUUGAAAUCAUUAAGAAGCCAUGGAAUGGGCUUGUGUGUCUUGCAAGUGGGGCAGCCUUACAAAAGGGGUCACCCAGAUGUCAUUUUCU
rnacentral:lncRNA from 1 species